CUGUAAACGAUGCGGGCUAGCUGUUGGGUGGGCUUAGAGCCCACCCAGUGGCGCAGGGAAGCUGUUAAGCCCGCCGCCUGGGGAGUACGGCCGCAAGGCUGAAACUCAAAGGAAUUGGCGGGGGAGCACCACAAGGGGUGGAGCCUGCGGUUUAAUUGGAGUCAACGCCGGAAACCUUACCGGGGGCGACAGCAGGAUGAAGGCCAGAUUGAAGGUCUUGCCAGACAAGCUGAGAGGAGGUGCAUGGCCGUCGCCAGUUCGUGCCGUGAGGUGUCCUGUUAAGUCAGGCAACGAUCGAGACCCGCGCCCCCUGUUGCUACCGGCCUUGAGCCGGGCACACUGGGGGGACUGCCGCCGAUAAGGCGGAGGAAGGAGCGGGCCACGGCAGGUCAGUAUGCCCCGAAUCCCCCGGGCCACACGCGAGCUGCAAUGGCAGGUACAAUGGGUUCCGACCCCGAAAGGGGGAGGCAAUCCCUAAAGCCUGCCGUAGUUGGGAUCGAGGGCUGAAACCCGCCCUCGUGAACAUGGAAUCCCUAGUAAUCGCGCGUCAUAUCGCGCGGUGAU
rnacentral:rRNA from 1 species